UUACUUACCUGGACGGGGUCGACAGGCGAUCAAGAAGGCCCGUGGCCUGGGUCAAUGGUCCACAUUGCACUUGGCACUACUAGGAAAAGGGCUAUAGAUAGGAUUGAUACUAAUGGCGCAUCAGGUAAGUAGUGCGCCACUACUAUAUAUUAAUGGUGCACCGGUCGGAGGCGCACCAUGCACA
rnacentral:snRNA from 1 species